rnacentral:misc_RNA from 1 species
GUAGGUGAACCUGCGGAAGGAUCAUUAACACGUUCCAACGUUACUAAGCAAACUCGGUAUCAUAUGUUUUCAACCCAACUCCCAUCCGAAACGCAAUUUAUAUUUAUUUUGUUAGUACCUUGGACUCCAUAGAACUGUCUUUGCUCUGGUCAUUCACUAAGUUUGAUCGUCACCGUACGGACGCCCCCCCCACCACCUACCACAUUAACCCUCGUUACUUUAGUUGUUUGGUUUGCUUACUUUGCUUUCAGGUUUACGCCGACUGUGCUGUUUGCACGUUUAUUUAUGAACGUUAAAAUACAACUCUUAGCAAUGGAUAUCUUGGUUCUC